CUGUAAGCCUGUGAAGGUGUGCUGUGAGGCAUGCUGGAGGUAUCAGAAGUGCGAAUGCUGACAUAAGUAACGAUAAAGCGGGUGAAAAGCCCGCUCGCCGGAAGACCAAGGGUUCCUGUCCAACGUUAAUCGGGGCAGGGUGAGUCGACCCCUAAGGCGAGGCCGAAAGGCGUAGUCGAUGGGAAACAGGUUAAUAUUCCUGUACUUGGUGUUACUGCGAAGGGGGGACGGAGAAGGCUAUGUUGGCCGGGCGACGGUUGUCCCGGUUUAAGCGUGUAGGCUGGUUUUCCAGGCAAAUCCGGAAAACCAAGGCUGAGGCGUGAUGACGAGGCACUACGGUGCUGAAGCGACAAAUGCCCUGCUUCCAGGAAAAGCCUCUAAGCAUCAGGUAACAUCAAAUCGUACCCCAAACCGACACAGGUGGUCAGGUAGAGAAUACCAAGGCGCUUGAGAGAACUCGGGUGAAGGAACUAGGCAAAAUGGUGCCGUAACUUCGGGAGAAGGCACGC
rnacentral:rRNA from 1 species